rnacentral:rRNA from 1 species
CCGUUAUAACCGGCGAUUUCCGAAUGGGGAAACCCAGUGUGAUUCGUCACACUAUCAUUAACUGAAUCCAUAGGUUAAUGAGGCGAACCGGGGGAACUGAAACAUCUAAGUACCCCGAGGAAAAGAAAUCAACCGAGAUUCCCCCAGUAGCGGCGAGCGAACGGGGAGCAGCCCAGAGCCUGAAUCAGUGUGUGUGUUAGUGGAAGCGUCUGGAAAGGCGCGCGAUACAGGGUGACAGCCCCGUACACAAAAAUGCACAUACUGUGAGCUCGAUGAGUAGGGCGGGACACGUGGUAUCCUGUCUGAAUAUGGGGGGACCAUCCUCCAAGGCUAAAUACUCCUGACUGACCGAUAGUGAACCAGUACCGUGAGGGAAAGGCGAAAAGAACCCCGGCGAGGGGAGUGAAAAAGAACCUGAAACCGUGUACGUACAAGCAGUGGGAGCACAGAGCAAUCUGUGUGACUGCGUACCUUUUGUAUAAUGGGUCAGCGACUUAUAUUCUGUAGCAAGGUUAACCGAAUAGGGGAGCCGAAGGGAAACCGAGUCUUAACUGGGCGUUAAGUUGCAGGGUAUAGACCCGAAACCCGGUGAUCUAGCCAUGGGCAGGUUGAAGGUUGGGUAACACUAACUGGAGGACCGAACCGACUAAUGUUGAAAAAUUAGCGGAUGACUUGUGGCUGGGGGUGAAAGGCCAAUCAAACCGGGAGAUAGCUGGUUCUCCCCGAAAGCUAUUUAGGUAGCGCCUCGUGAAUUCAUCUCCGGGGGUAGAGCACUGUUUCGGCAAGGGGGUCAUCCCGACUUACCAACCCGAUGCAAACUGCGAAUACCGGAGAAUGUUAUCACGGGAGACACACGGCGGGUGCUAACGUCCGUCGUGAAGAGGGAAACAACCCAGACCGCCAGCUAAGGUCCCAAAGUCAUGGUUAAGUGGGAAACGAUGUGGGAAGGCCCAGACAGCCAGGAUGUUGGCUUAGAAGCAGCCAUCAUUUAAAGAAAGCGUAAUAGCUCACUGGUCGAGUCGGCCUGCGCGGAAGAUGUAACGGGGCUAAACCAUGCAC